UCAGGUUUCACAUCCGACUUGUCAGUUACGUCACGUCACGUCACGGUGCGUCACGGCGCACGGCACGUACAGAUACAAUGCGGUUGCCGAACCCAUAAAUCGCUCAAACGCCGCUCCUGCAAUGGACGCCGGUUACGUGGACGAAAUGCAAAACCAAUUGCACCCGAAUUCUACCGCCUGUACCUUUCGACCACCCUCCGCGUCCUACCUGCAUGAUUUCUCUUGACAGCAUUCACGUGUCUUGUUGGACGAAUUCUGCCGGAACUUAUUAUGAUGAGACGUUUUCUCAGCGUUUUCGAGGUACAUGAUAUUCUUCAAAGAAAAGAGUCUACGUUAAAGCAAUUCUUAUUAAGGUACAUGAUAUUCUUCAAAGAAGAUUCUACAUUAAAGCAAUUCUUAUUAAGGUACAUGAUCUUCUUCAAAGAAAAGAGUCUAUGUUAAAGCAAUUCUUAUUGAGGUACAUGAUAUUCUUCAAAGAAAAUUCUACAUUAAAGCAAUUCUUUUUAAGCUACAUGAUAUAUUCAAAGAAAAGAGUCUACUUUAAAGCAAUAAGAAUCAUGUACCUUGCAUAUUAUGAAAUCCUUUAAAUUCUUACAAAAUUAAGGAAAUUCCGACAGAACAGAAAUUGAUAUUAUUAUAGAUAAGUGUAAUUAUAAAGAGACAUAAUUAUAUGCCUGUUAAAGUAAUAAUGAAAGAGUCAUCAUUAUUAUUUUAUCUGUUAUUCGAUCAAAAAUUGUUCUUUCCUAG
rnacentral:misc_RNA from 1 species